rnacentral:rRNA from 1 species
GACGAACGCUGGCGGCGUGCUUAACACAUGCAAGUCGAACGGAAAGGCCCUGCUUUUGUGGGGUGCUCGAGUGGCGAACGGGUGAGUAACACGUGAGUAACCUGCCCUUGACUUUGGGAUAACUACAGGAAACUGGGGCUAAUACCGGAUAGGAGCUCCUGCUGCAUGGUGGGGGUUGGAAAGUUUCGGCGGUUGGGGAUGGACUCGCGGCUUAUCAGCUUGUUGGUGGGGUAGUGGCUUACCAAGGCUUUGACGGGUAGCCGGCCUGAGAGGGUGACCGGCCACAGUGGGACUGAGAUACGGCCCAGACUCCUACGGGAGGCAGCAGUGGGGAAUAUUGCACAAUGGGCGGAAGCCUGAUGCAGCAACGCCGCGUGCGGGAUGACGGCCUUCGGGUUGUAAACCGCUUUCGCCUGUGACGAAGCGUGAGUGACGGUAAUGGGUAAAGAAGCACCGGCUAACUACGU